GCUGAAAUAGCUCAGUUGGCAGAGCGACAGGCUUUUAACCUGUUGGUCGUGGGUUCAAUUCCCACUUUUAGCG
rnacentral:tRNA from 1 species